ACAAUAGCUCAGUCGGUAGAGCAUGAGACUCCUAAUCUCAGGGUUGUGAGUUCAAGAACUACAUUGGGCAAUA